UGGUGGAGCGAUUUGUCUGGUUAAUUCCGAUAGAGACAGCAGGACGGUGGCCAUGGAAGUCGGAAUCCGCCUGCUAAAUAGACGGGCGAUCCCUUGUGGGUCGAUCCGAUUUGCUUCUUAGAGGGACAAGUGGCGUUCCUAGCCACGCGAAAUUGAGCAAUAACA
rnacentral:rRNA from 1 species